rnacentral:rRNA from 1 species
UCGCUACUACCGAUUGAAUGAUUUAGUGAACUUCAGGGACUUGAGGAUGUAGUAGGUUCGCCUUCCGCAUCAUCUGGGAACUGACGUAAACUUGACCAUUUAGAGGAAGUAA